AAAUGGCAGAUCUCCUGCUCUUACCUAGAUCAGAAUACAUUGAGGUGAUUCUGUUACAGAAUUGUUACAGAAUGGCAGUCUUAAAUUGAUCAUCCUUCCCUUCUUAGUCCUGUCAAGUUUAGUUUCUGUUGUUUGGUUUUCACUUCCAAAUGCCACAGUUUGAGACCCCAGCCCUGUCACUAUUCUCCCACAAUGGUUGUGCACGUUCCUGGUCGUAGCCUUUCACGUUCAUCCCCAGCACCAUUUUGAAACUUCACUGUUCUCAAGUUUCCCACUUCUCUCCCUUUACUCUUGAUAAGUCUUUCAGUUCUUGUUUCCCGGAGAAAAGCCUCAGUUAGCCAUCUCUUCCUCUCUAUCCUAUGGCCUACCAAGGUCCAGCACCCAACGCCACUCAUCCCCACUCCCUCCUCUUGGAGCAGAAGCAUCCCUUCUCUUCGGUGCCUUUCUCACCACUGCUGCUUUUCUGCACUCAUCCUCCCACCUCUGCCCUUCAGAGAACUUGAAGCUCUUUCUCUUCCACCUUCACACUCAUCCCAUGUUACACCUGGCCCCUCAUCAUCUAAGCACCCUAAUGCCACAGAUGUUGGCCUCGUGUCUCUCUCCCCUAUUGCCCUUUUUUCUCUUCUUCCUGUUGUAGCUAAGCUUCUUCAAAGAGUUGCCUACAGUUACCAUCUUCACUUUUUCGUUUUUCCUUCAUUUCUCAGCCUACUCCAGUCUGGCUUCCUCCCCAGCCACUUCACUGACAGUAGCCUAGUUGCUGAAGUCGCAGACAAUUUUUCGUCCUUAUCUUGGCUAACCUCUUGGCGGCAUUUGACCAGUAUAUCUCUUCCUCCCAGAAAUGUACUCAUAGCUUCUGCGACAGUAGUCUCCUGAUUGUCCACUUUUCCAAAAAUAAAUUCAUCCUUUUUCAUGGCUCUAAAUGCUCAUAACUUCUGUGAUCGGGGGAAUAAUGGCCCCCAAGGAUGUUCAUGUCCUGAUCCCUGGAACCUGUGAAUGUCACUCUACAUAGCAAAAAGGACUUAACAGAUGUGGUGAAGACAGGAAGAUUUCCAAAUUGAUCUGCCUAUUGGCCAUCUCCCCUGGGAUCUGCUACAGGUAUUUCUGCAUGGAGCUGAAGUGAUGGAACUGCAUUUGAUAACUUUGAUUCAGGAUAGAACCAAAAGAAUCUACAUAAUGGUGAGUCUAUCAUUUUGCACUGUUGUCUCAGCCUGAGUUUCAGUAGGUGCUGUAUAACCCAUUUCAAAAUGAAGGAUUUUGUGGAGUGAAUGAGGUCAGGUUGCAAGAUGGGGCUCCUUAGUGGGCCUGGAGACUGCUUACAAUUCUCUCUUCCUCUCCCCUGCUCCCCCCUCUCUAAAAAAAAGCACAACUUUUCCAAAGACUUGGGGGUGUGCGGACAAAACACACACACAAAAACAACCCUGAGGACAGCUUCCCUUAUUGCUAUUUCAUUCUUAUACUAUUAUGAGUUAUCGCCUGGGUUACCGCUAUAUGGGUAUUAUAUAUAACAGAGCAGGAAGUGCCCCUAACUGUGCCAGUAGCAAAAUGUGCCUUAAAAAGGACAAGUUUAUUUAGAAAAAAACUUAAAAAGUAGAAAAGACAACUCUAUUUAGAACAGGAAUCCUGCUUCUGUCUGCAGCUGCUUUCCUUCAUUGGAUCUGGAAUCUUCCCGUUCUGGCUCCAAAGCGGGCUGAGGAAUCUCCUCUCUUCCUAGUGACCUCCCAGCCGGCACCGAUGGCCUGAUCAAUGUGCACCAGCGAGUGGUGCUGGUAAUGGCGGGGAUCGUGGCCCUCAGCUAAAGUCGCCAGUGAACAGAGCCUCUGCAUCAGGGCGGCCAUAGAUGCCAAGUGGAGCGGAAAGCUUGGCGCUGAGGCCGCCCCCGCCCCGCCUUCCAGCCUCAGUCGUUACACCCCCUCUCCGCCCGGCCCCAGCCCCCGGCGCCCUCCGCCCCGCUCCGCCCAGCUUCCAACCCCUUCCGCUGCGUCCCAACCCCUACCUCCGCUCCGCCCUAACCCGCCCCGCGGCUCCCG